rnacentral:rRNA from 1 species
UCUGGUUGAUCCUGCCAGUAGUCAUAUGCUUGUCUCAAAGAUUAAGCCAUGCAUGUCUAAGUACAAACCUUUACACGGUGAAACCGCGAAUGGCUCAUUAAAUCAGUUAUGGUUCCUUAGAUCGUCUCUUCCUACUCGGAUAACUGUGGAAAAUCUAGAGCUAAUACGUGCUUAUAAGCCCUGAUUUUGUGGGAGGGGCGCAUUUAUUAGAUCAAAACCAAUCGAGGCUUGCCUCGUCUGCUUGGUGACUCUGGAUAACUUUUGUGCUGAUCGCAUGGCCUUUGUGCCGGCGACGUAUCUUUCAAGUGUCUGCCCUAUUAAUUUACGAUGGUAGGUGAUAUGCCUACCAUGGUUAUAACGGGUAACGGGGAAUCAGGGUUCGAUUCCGGAGAGGGAGCCUGAGAAACGGCUACCACAUCUAAGGAAGGCAGCAGGCGCGCAAAUUACCCACUCCCGGCACGGGGAGGUAGUGACGAAAAAUAACGAUACGGGACUCUUUUGAGGCCCCGUAAUUGGAAUGAGUACACUUUAAAUCCGUUAACGAGAAUCUAUUGGAGGGUAAGUCUGGUGUUAGUAGUUGUGGUAAUUCCAGCUCCAAUAGCGUAUAUUAAUGUUGUUGCAGUUAAAAGCUCGUAGUUGGAUCUGAGGACUCGAAUCGUCGGUGCAGUUAAUGCUGUUACUGUUGAUUCGGCCUACCUAGUCGGUGCUUGCUCUUGGUGUUUUUAAUUGAAUGCCCUGAGUGCCCGACAUGUUUACUUUGAAAAAAUUAGAGUGCUCAAAGCAGGCCAUUAGCCGGAAUAUUUUAGUAUGGAAUAAUGGAAUAGGACUUCGGUUCUAUUUUGUUGGUUUUCGGAACCCGAGGUAAUGAUUAAGAGAGACAGAUGGGGGCAUUCGUACUGCGGUGUUAGAGGUGAAAUUUUUGGAUCGCCGCAAGACGAAUAAUUGCGAAAGCAUUUGCCAAGAAUGUUUUCAUUAAUCAAGAAUGAAAGUCAGAGGUUUGAAGACGAUUAGAUAUCGUCCUAGUUCUGACCAUAAACGAUGCCAACUGGCGAUCCGAGAUUGUUUGUUAUUUGAUUUCUCGGGCAGCCUCCGGGAAAUUAAAGUUUUUAGGUUCCGGGGGAAGUAUGGUUGUAAAGCUGGAACUUAAAGGAAUUGACGGAAGGGCACCACCAGGAGUGGAGCCUGCGGCUUAAUUUGACCCAACACGGGAAAACUCACCCGGCCCGGACACUGUUAGGAUUGACAGAUUGAGAGCUUUUUCUUGAUUCGGUGGGUGGUGGUGCAUGGCCGUUCUUAGUUGGUGGAGCGAUUUGUCUGGUUAAUUCCGAUAAC